UACGGAGGGGGCAAGCGUUAUUCGGAAUCAUUGGGCGUAAAGGGCGCGUAGGCGGCUUGGCAAGUCAAAGGUGAAAUCCCUCAGCUUAACUGGGGAACUGCGUCUGAUACUGAGUGGCUUGAGUGCAGGAGAGGAAUGCGGAAUUCCAGGUGUAGCGGUGAAAUGCGUAGAUAUCUGGAGGAACACCGGUGGCGAAGGCGGCAUUCUGGACUGUAACUGACACUGAGGAACGAAAGCCAGGGGAGCAAACGGG
rnacentral:rRNA from 1 species